AACGAACGCUGGCGGCAGGCUUAACGCAUGCAAGUCGAACGCCCCGCAAGGGGAGUGGCAGACGGGUGAGUAACGCGUGGGAACAUACCCUUUUCUACGGAAUAGCUCUGGGAAACUGGAAUUAAUACCGUAUACGCCCUACGGGGGAAAGAUUUAUCGGGGAAGGAUUGGCCCGCGUUGGAUUAGCUAGUUGGUGGGGUAAAGGCCUACCAAGGCGACGAUCCAUAGCUGGUCUGAGAGGAUGAUCAGCCACAUUGGGACUGAGACACGGCCCAAACUCCUACGGGAGGCAGCAGUGGGGAAUAUUGGACAAUGGGCGCAAGCCUGAUCCAGCCAUGCCGCGUGAGUGAUGAAGGCCUUAGGGUUGUAAAGCUCUUUCACCGAUGAAGAUAAUGACGGUAGUCGGAGAAGAAGCCCCGGCUAACUUCGUG
rnacentral:rRNA from 1 species